rfam:Callithrix jacchus chromosome 4, whole genome shotgun sequence
ACAAAGGCUCUUUUCAGAGCCGCUUCAUUAAUCAUAGAAAGACGAC